rnacentral:rRNA from 1 species
UGGGGAAUAUUGCACAAUGGGGGAAACCCUGAUGCAGCGACGCCGCGUGAACGAAGAAGGUAUUCGUAUCGUAAAGUUCUGUCCUAUGGGAAGAUAAUGACAGUACCAUAGAAGAAAGCUCCGGCUAAAUACGUGCCAGCAGCCGCGGUAAUACGUAUGGAGCGAGCGUUGUCCGGAAUUAUUGGGCGUAAAGGGUACGCAGGCGGUUUAAUAAGUCGAAUGUUAAAGAUCGGGGCUCAACCCCGUAAAGCAUUGGAAACUGAUAAACUUGAGUAGUGGAGAGGAAAGUGGAAUUCCUAGUGUAGUGGUGAAUUACGUAGAUAUUAAGAGGAAUACCAGUAGCGAAGGCGACUUUCUGGACACAAACUGACGCUGAGGUACGAAAGCGUGGGGAGCAAACAGG